AAGACGGUCUUGCUGUCACUUAUAGAUGGAUCCGCGCUGCAUUAGCUAGUUGGUAAGGUAACGGCUUACCAAGGCAACGAUGCAUAGCCGACCUGAGAGGGUGAUCGGCCACACUGGAACUGAGACACGGUCCAGACUCCUACGGGAGGCAGCAGUAGGGAAUCUUCCGCAAUGGGCGAAAGCCUGACGGAGCAACGCCGCGUGAGUGAUGAAGGUCUUCGGAUCGUAAAACUCUGUUAUUAGGGAAGAACAUAUGUGUAAGUAACUGUGCACAUCUUGACGGUACCUAAUCAGAAAGCCACGGCUAACUACGUGCCAGCAGCCGCGGUAAUACGUAGGUGGCAAGCGUUAUCCGGAAUUAUUGGGCGUAAAGCGCGCGUAGGCGGUUUUUUAAGUCUGAUGUGAAAGCCCACGGCUCAACCGUGGAGGGUCAUUGGAAACUGGAAAACUUGAGUGCAGAAGAGG
rnacentral:rRNA from 1 species